CCUACGGGAGGCAGCAGUGAGGAAUAUUGGUCAAUGGGCGCGAGCCUGAACCAGCCAAGUCGCGUGAGGGAUGAAGGUUCUAUGGAUCGUAAACCUCUUUUAUAAGGGAAUAAAGUGUGGGACGUGUCCUAUUUUGUAUGUACCUUAUGAAUAAGGAUCGGCUAACUCCGUGCCAGAAGCCGCGGUAAUACGGAGGAUCCGAGCGUUAGCCGGAUUUAUUGGGUGUAAAGGGUGCGUAGGCGGCCUUUUAAGUCAGCGGUGAAAGUCUGUGGCUCAACCAUAGAAUUGCCGUUGAAACUUGGGGUCUUGAUUAUGUUUGAGGCAGGCUGAAUGCGUGGUGUAGCGGUGAAAUGCUUAGAUCUCACGCAGAACCCCGAUUGCGAAGGCAGCCUGCCAAGCCAUGACUGACGCUGAUGCACGAAAGCGUGGGGAUCAAACAGGAUUAGAUACCCCUGUAGUC
rnacentral:rRNA from 1 species